rnacentral:rRNA from 1 species
UACGUAGGGUGCAAGCGUUAAUCGGAAUUACUGGGCGUAAAGCGUGCGCAGGCGGUUUUGUAAGUCUGACGUGAAAUCCCCGGGCCUAACCUGGGAACUGCAUUUGUGACUGCAUCGCUGGAGUGCGGCAGAGGGGGAUGGAAUUCCGCGUGUAGCAGUGAAAUGCGUAGAUAUGCGGAGGAACACCGAUGGCGAAGGCAAUCCCCUGGGCCUGCACUGACGCUCAUGCACGAAAGCGUGGGGAGCAAACAGG